rnacentral:rRNA from 1 species
UACGAAGGGUGCAAGCGUUAAUCGGAAUUACUGGGCGUAAAGCGUGCGUAGGUGGUCUUUUAAGUCCGUUGUGAAAGCCCUGGGCUCAACCUGGGAAUGGCAGUGGAUACUGGAAGGCUGGAGUGCGGUAGAGGAGGGUGGAAUUCCCGGUGUAGCGGUGAAAUGCGUAGAGAUCGGGAGGAACAUCAGUGGCGAAGGCGGCCCUCUGGACCAGCACUGACGCUGAGGCGCGAAAGCGUGGGGAGCAAACGGG